rnacentral:tRNA from 1 species
UAAGAUUUGUGAGACAUUAAUUCACAUCCUCUGAAUGCAACUCAACCACUUUAAUUAAGCUAAAAUCUU